GUCCAGACUCCUACGGGAGGCAGCAGUGGGGAAUAUUGCACAAUGGGGGGAACCCUGAUGCAGCGACGCCGCGUGGGCGAGGAAGUAUUUCGGUAUGUAAAGCCCUAUCGGCAGGGAAGAAGAAAUGACGGUACCUGAAUAAGAAGCACCGGCUAAAUACGUGCCAGCAGCCGCGGGAAUACGUAUGGUGCAAGCGUUAUCCGGAUUUACUGGGCGUAAAGGGAGCGCAGGCGGCGCGCCAAGUCUGAUGUGAAAGCCCGGGGCCCAACCCCGGGACUGCUCUUGGAACUGCGCGGCUGGAGUGCAGGAGGGGCAGGCGGAAUUCCUGGUGUAGCGGUGAAAUGCGUAGAUAUCAGGAGGAACACCGGUGGCGAAGGCGGCCUGCUGGACUGCGACUGACGUUGAGGCCCGAAAGCGUGGGGAGCAAACAGGAUUAGAUACCCCGGUAA
rnacentral:rRNA from 1 species